CCUACGGGAGGCUGCAGUCGAGAAUCAUGCACAAUGGGGGAAACCCUGAUGCUGCGACGCCGCGUGGGCGAAUGAAGGUCUCCGUAUGUUAAACUCUUGUCACGUGGGAGCAAAUGAAAAUGAUAGAACCACAAGAUGAAGCGACGGCUAAAUCCGUGCCAGCAGCCGCGGUAAUACAGAGGGCUCAAGCGUUGUUCGGAGUCACUGGGCGUAAAGCGAGCGUCGGCUGUUUCGUAAGUCAUAUGUGAAAGCCGCGGGCUCAACCCGCGGACGGCACAUGAUACUGCGAUACUAGAGUAGUGGAGAGGUAAGCGGAAUUCUUGGUGUAGCGGUGAAAUGCGUAGAUAUUGGGAGGAACACUAGUGGCGAAGGCGGGUUCCUGGACAUUAACUGACGUUGAGGCUCGAAGGCGAGGGGAGCAAACGGGAUUAGAUACCCUUGUAGUC
rnacentral:rRNA from 1 species